UGGGGAAUUUUGCACAAUGGGGGAAACCCUGAUGCAGCGACGCCGCGUGAUUUAGAAGGCCUUCGGGUUGUAAAAAUCUUUUCUAUGGGAAGAAAAUGACAGUACCAUAGGAAUAAGGACCGGCUAAUUACGUGCCAGCAGCCGCGGUAAUACGUAAGGUCCGAGCGUUGUCCGGAAUCAUUGGGCGUAAAGGGUACGUAGGCGGGUAAGCAAGUUAGAAGUGAAAUCCUAUAGCUCAACUAUAGUAAGCUUUUAAAACCGCUCAACUUGAGGGAAGGAAAGGAAAGUGGAAUUUCUUGUGUAGCGGUGAAAUGCGCAGAUAUUAGGAGGAAUACCGGUGGCGAAGGCGAAUUUCUUGGCAAAACCUUACGCUGAGGUACGAAAGCGUGGGUAGCAAACAGG
rnacentral:rRNA from 1 species